rnacentral:lncRNA from 1 species
CAUUUUCGCGUUCUGAGUGCAAAUUCCUUUCGAUCGACUGAAUAAGUACCAGUCAAGCUCUGGGGUCGAUCUAAUCGACUUGCUCUAGCCCAAAAUUUCAGGUCAUUACGCCUAUAAUACUUUACGACAGUCUCCGCAAAUGUCAGUUGUGGAAGUUUUUCCCCCUUGGUAAGAUUUAAUUCCUCAAUUACCCGAUAGGGGGACAGUGGUGAAUAAUAGCUUCUAACGAGAACUGACAAUAGUGGUGAGGUGGGAGAAUAUUUGAUACCGUCGUCUCCGUUCUUGACUGGUUCUCUAUUUUAUUGACCCCGAAGAGAUGAAAAGAAGAAUUGACGUCGGUGAGAUUUGAGCUCAAAACUUAAAAAAUUGGAAGAAAUACUGCAUAGCGUAAAGAAGUGCUGUUAAUUUUGGCGCAAUGCAGGAAAUUUCGUUUCGGUAAUUAAAGCAAGCCAUUACAGUUUUUUCAUUUACUCCCCUUUGCUUCAGUCUGGCUUUCGUCGGGGAACCUGCUACACGUGGUAGCAGAUUAUCUUCGUCUCUUUUCUUCUAAGAAAUUAGCGACUUUUGUAUCAAGACUGCCGUGGAAAAUGAUUGUGUCGAAGAUAAUGAUGAAAUAAUUAUCUGGUGAUAUUGGCAUCUACAGACGCUUUUACAUCAACGAUUAUUAAAAUCUGUGUAAAAGAGAUAAACAUCUGCAUAUUUUGGUGUGAGAAGAAUAAAUACGGAAAAUGAAUUCUGUGAAAGCAAGGUUAAAUCUGUAACUCAGUCUAUAAAAGGAUUGAUUCUUCUGCUGCUACAGAAGAAGGAACAGAUUUUCAGAUGACAUCACCCUCUACUGAUGGAGUCGGCUACUCUGGGAAACCUGUUUAAAAUCUCAGCCAAGGCAGCAUCUGCAUCAAUUCCACGAACUAAUUGGGUGAAAUGUUUCACGAGUCACUUAGCUCAGUGGUACAGCAUGCUUAAUUGGGGUUCGAGAAGUAUGGGUUUGGCCAUCUGUUGCGGCUUGCCGUGCAAUUUUUGCACUCAAGAAGACCUGCCCUCCACAGCAGAAGUGUUAUGGUUGCGUCACCUGGUGAAGAAGAUUGACCUGCAAGCGCCCUGUGUCAAUACCACAGAAAAUGCACUUGUAUUGGUGUCAUGUAAAAUAUCUCAUGCUGGUGGCCCGUUAAAAGCACUCCGCACACUGUAAAGCGGUUGGUGUUGGGAAGGACAUCCGGCUGUAGAAACCAAGCCAAGUCAAACUGGAGCCUAAUGCAGCUUCCUAGCUUGCUUGUUCUGGUCAAACCGUCCGACCCAUGCCAGCACGGAAAACAGACACGAACCCUUUAAUGUUAGAUUACUCUGUAAGAUGUUCUGCUUAUUUAUUCAUAUUGUUUUGUGUUAAUCAUGCAUUAGGUGUAAGAGUGGCUGUGUGGUAAGUAGCUUGCUUACGAGCCACAAGGUUCCGGGCUCAGUUCCACUGCGUGGCACCUUGG